GCCUGGGUGGCUCAGUUGGUUAAGCAUCUGACUUCGGCUCAGGUCAUGAUCUCAAGGUUUGUGAGUUCGAGCCCCACGUCGGGCU
rnacentral:tRNA from 1 species